GUGUCCUCAAAAAGAAAAGGAGUACUUGUGGCACCUCAGAGACGAACAAAUUUAUUAUAAAUUAUAUAUAUUAUUAUAUAUAAAUUAUUAUAAAUAAAUUUGUUCGUCUCUGAGGUGCCACAAGUACUCCUUUUCUUUUUUCAGAA
rnacentral:ncRNA from 1 species